UACGUAGGGUGCGAGCGUUGUCCGGAAUUAUUGGGCGUAAAGAGCUCGUAGGCGGUGUGUCACGUCGGCCGUGAAAACCUGCAGCUUAACUGUGGGCGUGCGGUCGAUACGGGUAUCACUGGAGUUCGGCAGGGGAGACUGGAAUUCCUGGUGUAGCGGUGAAAUGCGCAGAUAUCAGGAGGAACACCGGUGGCGAAGGCGGGUCUCUGGGCCGAUACUGACGCUGAGGAGCGAAAGCGUGGGGAGCAAACAGG
rnacentral:rRNA from 1 species